rnacentral:rRNA from 1 species
CUUCUCUGAUGUUAGCGGCGGACGGGUGAGUAACACGUGGGUAACCUACCUAUAAGACUGGGAUAACUCCGGGAAACCGGGGCUAAUACCUGAUAAUAUUUUGAACCGCAUGGUUCGAUAGUGAAAGGCGGCUUCGGCUGUCACUUAUAGAUGGACCCGCGCCGUAUUAGCUAGUUGGUAAGGUAAUGGCUUACCAAGGCGACGAUACGUAGCCGACCUGAGAGGGUGAUCGGCCACACUGGAACUGAGACACGGUCCAGACUCCUACGGGAGGCAGCAGUAGGGAAUCUUCCGCAAUGGGCGAAAGCCUGACGGAGCAACGCCGCGUGAGUGAUGAAGGUUUUCGGAUCGUAAAACUCUGUUGUUAGGGAAGAACAAAUUUGUUAGUAACUGAACAAGUCUUGACGGUACCUAACCAGAAAGCCACGGCUAACUACGUGCCAGCAGCCGCGGUAAUACGUAGGUGGCAAGCGUUAUCCGGAAUUAUUGGGCGUAAAGCGCGCGUAGGCGGUUUCUUAAGUCUGAUGUGAAAGCCCACGGCUCAACCGUGGAGGGUCAUUGGAAACUGGGGAACUUGAGUGCAGAAGAGGAGAGUGGAAUUCCAUGUGUAGCGGUGAAAUGCGCAGAGAUAUGGAGGAACACCAGUGGCGA